AUCAAACACAACACAACAAAAUAAAAUCACUUUUCUACGUUUUACGUUCAUUGUAUGUUGUGUUUUGGCACAGAAACAAUGACUUGUUAGUGCAUAUUCGCAUAUAGUGAACAUUAUGUGCUUAGAUAUUUCUCGGAAGUGAUUUAGAGCUAGGACCAUAAUGUAGCGCGUAAUCAAGUUCCACAUAAGAGUAUUCCAAAAUUAUAGUAUUGAUCUUUUGUCUUUAACUUCAACAGUGUAUUAUUAAGGAUUUAAAAAUGUCUGUGGUUAAAGGAAAGGCAUUAGUGAAAAUGGAUGUUAUCCAAGUUGGUGAAUAUGAAUUUACAAAACAAGAUAUUAUCGGUCAUGGAGCGUUUGCUAUGGUGUACAAAGGAAGGAAGAGAAAGAACCCAUCACAGUCAGUGGCCGUGAAAGUCGUCACAAAGAAAGGCAUACAGAAAGCAUCAGAGAUCCUGGUGAAGGAAAUCAAAAUUCUUCGCGAGCUGACGGCCCUCCAUCACACGAACCUUGUCGCCAUGCACGACUGUAUGGACAGCACGGCUUAUGUUUAUGUAGUUAUGGAGUAUUGUAAUGGCGGCGACUUGGCAGACUAUCUACAAACAAAUAGGCUUCUCAGCGAGGCCACAAUACGCACCUUCCUUCGGCAACUUGCUGAGGCCAUGCGCGCUAUUCACGCCAAAGGGAUUGUCCAUCGUGAUCUGAAGCCACAGAAUAUUCUACUGACACACAAUGUCGCCCCACCUCGCACACCGCACCCGGAAGAAAUAACCCUCAAAAUUGCUGAUUUUGGAUUUGCUCGAUUCUUAGAAGAAGGAAACAUGGCUGUCACACUUUGCGGAUCUCCUAUGUAUAUGGCGCCCGAAGUUAUAAUGUCCCUAAAAUAUGACGCAAAAGCAGACCUCUGGAGCCUGGGCACGAUCGUGUAUCAAUGCUUAACUGGCAAGGCUCCUUUCCAAGCGACCACGCCACACGAACUUAAGGCUUUCUACGAAAACAGCGUCGAUUUACAGCCCAAGAUGCCAGCCGGAACAAGUCCCGAGCUUUGCAAUUUACUUAUCGGCUUACUGAGACGUAAUGCUCGAGAACGGAUGCCUUUUGAGGUGUUCUUCAACCAUCCAUUCUUACAAAGACCCAGAACAACUUCUAUAACAAGUUUGGACUCGGAUCUGCCUGAUAUAUUGGAGAGCGAUACUGAAGGCCGUCCCGAUACUAACUGUAUCCUAGAGGAGUCUUGGGAGAGCCAGGGGACGGGCUCGAGCGCGGCGGGGGCGGGCGCGCGCGCGCCGCUGUCGCAGCCGCCGCCGCAGCCGCAUCCGCAGCCGAUGCCCACGCCGCAGCCGACGAGGAAGUCGCAGCCUACGUCCUCAGCCGAUUCAUCCGAAGUCGUAUGGGCGGGCGCGGAAGACUUCGUAGUGGUGGAGGCGGACAGCGGCUCCGGCGAGUAUUCCGGCGGCUCGUCGUCCUCCGAGGCGGCGUCCCGGCCGCGCUCGCUGGCCCUCGCCGCGCAUGCGCGCAACACGCCGCACUCGCCGUCACCGCACUCGCCCAACUCGCCGCACUCGCCCCACUCGCCCCACUCGCCCGCGCCGCACGCGCCCUCCCUGGAACACGCUAAUGUGCAGAUGAGGAAUCCAUUGACGGCAGGUUCCAAUGUACCACGAUCACAGCCAAUAGACGUCCUUCGAUCAAACCACAACCGAAAUGCGACCAACAUCGGAUCUCUCUCGCCGCCUACUGUGCCGUUCACAAUGGGGACUCCCCCGUCGACGCGUCGACGCAGUGCCUCCGGGAGCUCCCCGCCGCCCUCGUUGUGGCAGGUCUCGCCAACCAACGCGAGCCCGCACGUGUUGAUGGGUGUCCGUCUGAAAGGCUCCUCGCCACCAGUGCCGCUGGCGCUGAAGGCGAGCGGCUCGUGCUCGCCGAAGCGCGGCGCGCUGCCGGACGCGCUGCUGCGCGCGCUCAAGCUGCCCGCGCACGACCCGCCCGUCUACAUACCCAACCUGCAGGAGGAGACCAUACUGGCCGAGGAGCACAGCAAAGUGUUCUCUCAGCUGAACUUCGUGCUGAUGCUGGCGGAACUGCUGUCCGACCUCGCGGUGUCGUGCGGCGCGCCCAUCGCCGCUCUCAUGGACGCUUCUGAUGAGCGCUGCAACGAGAGCGUGCGGCUCGGCCUGCUGGUGCAGGCGAUGCAGGCGCUGGCGGCCGGCCUGCGCCUCGCCGCCGACUGCUACCGCGAGCGCACGCUGCAGCCCACGCCGCAAGUUCGCAGCGUGGUGUCACUUAUGAAUGGCAAGUACAAGUGGAUAGUAAACGAAUCGCGACGACUACACGAAACGGGAGUGACUCCGGCGGUCUGUGAUAAAAUACUUUACGAACAUGCUAUUGAACUGUGCCAGAUGGCAGCUAUCGAGGAGCUGUUCGGCGACGUGAAGGAGUGCGAGCGGCGCUACAUGUCGGCGCAGGUGCUGCUGCACUCGCUCGUGCAGCGCCAGCCGCUGCACCCGCACCACCGCACCACGCUCUCCAAGUAUCGGGAUGCAGUACAGAGGCGGCUCAAUUGCCUCAAAGGGCCGCGCAAGAUAAUGGACGUAAAACUAGAGGCUGGGAUCUCAUAAUGCAAUAAGCUAUCAACAUGUAGAGUUAAGUACACUAUACAAGAUGAGAAGUGAUAAAAAAAUAUUUAAAAAUGUGUAAAAAUAAAAAAGUGAAUGACUUCAACAAAAUCAUAUAAACACAAAUGUUGUAGUAAAGAAGAUUACCAGAGAUUGCAAUAGUAAGUUAUAUAUUUUUUUAACAGUAUGUAGGUUUUCUUUUAAGUAGGGACUGUAGAUCUCUAGAACAUCUUAGUGCAAAUGAAUAGUACAGCUUAAACUUUCAUAGAUAAGUAGAUAAAUAUGUAGAUGUGUCAUUAUAAUAAUAAUGGUUGUACUUUCAUAUUAUGGUUUGUAACUUUAGUACAAGAAAUUUACGACAUGUCCAGUCAGCUCCGCUUACAUAUACAGAAUGCUGUUACAAGAUGAUUUAUAUAAUUUUUAGAAAUUGA
rnacentral:misc_RNA from 1 species